rnacentral:ncRNA from 1 species
GUAGCGGUGUUGACGUGCAAAUCACUCGUCUGACUUGAGUGUAGGGGCGAAAGACUAAUCGAACCAUCUAGUUGCUGGUUCCUUCCGAAGUUUCCCUCAGGAUAGCUGGCAUUUGUUUGUAACAAUUUUAUCCGGUAGAGCGAAUGAUUAGAGGUGUUGGGAACGCAAUGUUCUCAGCCUAUUCUCAAACUUCGAAUGGGUAAGCAAGGCGUUUUGCUUUGAUUUUACGAUGAAAUCGCCCAAUUAGAAUGUAUAAAUGCCUAAGUGGGCCAAUUUUGGUAAGCAGAACUGGCGAUGUGGAAUGAACCAAAAGUCAGGUUAAGGUGCCAGACAUUGGCGCUCAUGAAAUACCAGAAAAAGGUGUUGGUCGAUAUAGACAGCAGGACGGUGGCCAUGGAAAGUUGGAAUCCGCCCAGGAGUGUGUAACAACUCACCUGCCCGAAUCGACUACCCCUGAAAAUGGAUAAGCGUUUGAGCUCCCAGGCCCAUACCUGACCGUCUCAAUUACGCACUUUUUUUUUUCGGAAAAAAGGUGUAAAUGAACGUUGAGACGGGUAGGAAAGGUCGCGAACAGUGUUGCUUUUGAAAAAGUUUUUGAGCGUGAGCUCCGCUCGGAACCCCUGGUUGGGUGCAAAAUCCUUGGGGUGGUAAGUAACAAAAUAUUUCAAGUGAAAAAACCUUUGAAAGGCCUGAAGUGGGAACAAAGGGUCCCAUGGGGAACCAACUCCUUGGGGACGUGGGGUCCCAAACGAUCCCAAAAAAAAAAAGGGGGAAAAACCCUUGGUUCCAAAAUUUCCCACAUGGAAUUGGGAAAAAAAGAA